GUGUGUGGGCGCAGAUGGCGGCGGCGCACGGCGCCUGAGCGGGCCGGGGCCAUGAGCGCCGCCCGGCCCCAGUUCAGCAUUGAUGAUGCCUUCGAGCUGUCCCUGGAGGACGCGGGCCCUGGGCCCGAGUCCAGCGGGGUCGCGCGCUUUGGGCCGCUGCACUUCGAGCGUCGGGCCCGGUUCGAGGUGGCUGACGAGGACAAGCAGUCCCGGCUGCGCUACCAGAACCUGGAGAACGAUGAGGAUGGAGCCCAGGCCUCUCCGGAGCCGGAUGGGGGAGUCAGCACCAGGGAUUCCGGCCGAACUUCCAUCCGCAGCUCCCAGUGGUCCUUUAGCACCAUCAGCAGCGGCACCCAGCGCUCCUACAACACCUGCUGCAGGUGAGCCUGCCCGCCUG
rnacentral:sRNA from 1 species